AUUGAACGCUGGCGGAAUGCUUUACACAUGCAAGUCGAACGGCAGCACGGGGGCAACCCUGGUGGCGAGUGGCGAACGGGUGAGUAAUACAUCGGAACGUGCCCGGUCGUGGGGGAUAACGUAGCGAAAGUUACGCUAAUACCGCAUACGAUCUGAGGAUGAAAGCGGGGGACCUUCGGUCCUCGCGCGAUCGGAGCGGCCGAUGUCAGAUUAGGUAGUUGGUGGGGUAAAGGCCUACCAAGCCGACGAUCUGUAGCUGGUCUGAGAGGACGACCAGCCACACUGGGACUGAGACACGGCCCAGACUCCUACGGGAGGCAGCAGUGGGGAAUUUUGGACAAUGGGCGAAAGCCUGAUCCAGCCAUUCCGCGUGCAGGACGAAGGCCUUCGGGUUGUAAACUGCUUUUGUAUGGAACGAAAAGGCUCUGGCUAAUACCUGGGGCUCAUGACGGUACCGAAAGAAUAAGCACCGGCUAACUACGUG
rnacentral:rRNA from 1 species